GGUGGCUUAGUGGUAGAGUGCUUGCCUCUCAUGCAUGAUGUCCUGGGUUCCAUUCCUCAGCACCA
rnacentral:tRNA from 1 species